AUGCCUUCUUCAUCAACACCAUUGGUGUACCUUUGCCUACUGCUGGUACCAUGCCUUCUACUGUUGCAAGAAGCCCGUGCGGCGCACCAUGGAGGGAUCUCAUUGAGGUCUCAACAGAUGGCCCUCCUCCACUGGAAAUCUACGCUCGCAAGCCCACCGCUGCAGAUGAGCUCUUGGCAGGAAAACACCAGCCCAUGCAACUGGACAGGCAUCAUGUGCACGGCUGUUCGCCAUGGGCACCUGAGGCCCUGGGUGGUGACCAACAUCUCCAUGCCGGAUGCUGGCAUCCGUGGCCAGCUUGGUGAGCUCAACUUCUCGGCUCUUCCAUUCCUCACAUAUAUCGACCUUCAUAACAACAGUCUCCAUGGUGCACUGCCAGCUAGUAUCAGCUCUCUAUCCGCACUUUCGGUACUUUACCUUCACUACAACCAGUUUACGGGGAAAAUUCCUUAUGAGAUUGGUGACCUGCAGAGUCUCACCCAGCUUAGCCUCGCAUUUAGUAGACUCAGAGGACAUAUCCCUGCGUCUCUGGGCAACCUAACAAUGUUAACUAAUCUUCUCAUUCACCAAACAAUGUUAUCAGGUCCAAUUCCUGAGGAGAUUGGAAGGCUUGUCAACCUACAAACUCUACAACUAAGCAACAACACCUUAACCAACAUGAUACCAAAAACCCUUGGAAAUCUGAGCCAACUAGAUACUUUGCGCCUAUUUGGUAACCAAUUUUCAGGGCCUAUACCCCAGGAGCUUGGCAGGCUAGUCAAUUUGCAAAGUCUUCAGCUUGGUAUUAAUGAUUUUUCAGGUCCAAUUCCAAUCUCCAUAACCAAUCUCACAAAGCUGAACCAUCUUUUUCUAUUUGACAAUCAAAUCUCUGGUCCAAUACCCCCAGAAAUAGGCAAGCUCACUAUGUUAAACCAACUUGGUCUCUAUCUAAAUCAAAUAACAGGUUCGAUACCCCCAGAACUACGCAAGCUCGCUAUGCUAAACCUUCUUUAUCUCCAUGAAAAUCAAAUCACAGGUUGCAUUCCCCAAGAAAUUGGCAAUCUGAUGAAGCUUGAAAUUCUAGCCUUCUAUCAGAACCAAAUUUUAGGGUCAAUACCAAAAACUUUUGGGAAGCUGCAAAGCAUUCGAGUGUUCGUCACCUAUGGCCUUAAGAUCGAUAGAAAUGGUGAACAACCUUCAGGUCCCGGGAAUCUACUCAAGGCUGCAGACACUUCUUGUCUCACUUCUUUUAUCAUCGAUGGUGUAUUUGAGCUCGGGAGCAGAGACUCCACGUCCUGA
rnacentral:rRNA from 1 species